rnacentral:lncRNA from 1 species
ACAUACACGCAAACACGCACGCGCGCAUGGGCUCGGACACACAAAGAACCCGGGCUCGCCGAGCGCGCGCGCACACCCUCAUGCCGCGCGGCGAACGUUCGUUGCCAGGUGCGGCAGCCCGCCCUGGGCGCCUCCUGCCUGCGGAAGAAGAGCAGGACAGACCCGACCCGACCCGCCUAGUCCUUUCCUUCACAGCAGCCUCCAAACUCCACCGCUCGCCUCUUCCGCCAGGCUCCUAGGAUGAGGCCCAGGGCUCCUGGAGCAGCCAGGUGCAAACCAGACCGGGCUCGCACUCCACUGCGUUGCCCUGGGCGAUCGUCCACGUUCUGGGAGACUCGGUAUGCCCCGGGAGGGUGGCCUGAGCUUGUGGUGUGAAGCCAGGUACAGAGCUCCAGAAUCCUGGCCUUGCCAUGGCUGUGUGACCCUGGGCAAGUGACUCAAUUUCUCUGCCUCAGUGUCCUCAUCUAUAAAAUGGAAAGGAAAAUAGUAGCGCUUGUCUCCUCCGGCUGUUAUGAAGAUCCAAGGUUAACAGCGUAGAGAACUCGGAACGCACCCGGCAUCUAGGAAGUGCCAAGCCAGUGUCAGCUAAUGUGACUAUUUUUAAAUGGAGAUGGGGAGUGUGCCAUUAUUCUUGUCCUUAUUUGAAUGAACGGGCCCUCAGGGACCAUUUUCCACUGCCCCGCCCUGGCAGCAUGAGAGGGAAACGCUGUGAGAACCCCGAACCCCAGCCUUCUCCUGUCCCUCUCUCUCUCUCUCUCUCUCUGCACCUGGGAGGCGGGGAGGAGAGAGCCGAUCCUUCCACCAUUUACACGGAGAAUGAAAGAAGAAAUACCGGCCAGGCGCGGUGGCUCAUGCCUGUAAUCCCAGCACUUUGGGAGGCCGAGGGGGCAGAUCACCUGAGGUCAGGAGUUCGAGACCAGCCUGGCCAACAUGGCGAAACUCCGUCUCUACUAAAAGUACAAAAAUUAGCCUGGCGUGGUGCCGGGUGCCUAUAAUCCCAGCUACUCAGGAGGCUGAGGCAGGAGAAUCCCUUGAACCCGGGAGGCGGAGGUUGCAGUGAGCCGAGAUCACGCCACUGCACUCCAGCCUGGGUGACAAGAAUGAGUCUCAAAAAAACAAAAAAGAAGAAGAAGAAGAAAUACCACACAGGUCCGACCAAGAGCUGCCCCCACUCAGGCCAGGAUCCCUGCCUGGAAGGGCUCUGCAGCCACUCUCCCUGUACAGCCCCAGGAUGCUAAGGAGCAUCCCGAAGUGACACUGGCUCUCCCUGGAGGCCCCUGCCAUCGGACUCCAACCUGACCUUCCAGUGGGUGCUCCUCAUACUGGCUCCAGCCAAGACAGACGAGGACCACUGGGCACAUGCCCUUCCUUGCCUUCCUGUCACCCUUCCCACCCUUCUCUGCGGGCCCCGGGUGGCCCCUUCCUCCAGGAAGCACCUGGGGAUCAGCAGUGCCUCUAGGGUCCCAGUGGCCCACGUGACAUCUGCUUCUGGCCACCUGAGCACUCUCCUUUGAGUUCAGGGUCACUGUACCCUUUUAUAGGUAGGCCAGCGGAGCCUCAUGCAGGUAGUGCCAGCGCAAGACACACGAGUGAACCAUCUAUCCAGUUACCAGCUCCAUGAGGGAUGGGAUCUGUUCUUUUGCCUCCAUCAACUCCUGGAGUCUAUCAUAGGCCUGACACACAAAAUUCGCCGGGUAUGGUGGUGCAUGCCUAUGGUCCCAGCUACUCAGGAGGCUGAGGCAGGAGGAUCACUUGAGCCCGGGAGGUGAAGGCUGCGGUAAGCUAUGACUACACCACUGCACUCCAGCCUAGGUGCGAGAGCAAGACCCUGUCUCCAAACAACAACAACAACAACAAAAUCUGAAUGCCUGGUUUAUCUUGAAAUAUGGCAAAAUGGGGCCACCCAGGCCCAUUAACCCCCUGUCUACAAUGUCCUGGAGCUGAGGGGCAUUAGCCACCCUCUCACAUGGGCUCCCCAGGGUGCCACAGCUCCCUCCUAGCUAGUUUGCUCUUUUCUGUCACCUACCGGCCCUUGCAGGGAGCUGAAUUUGAGACCCAUGAUGCACUUUGUGCACCCUGCCCCCUCAAAGAUAACUGUGAGUACCAAGGGAAAUGGAAAGCUUUGGCAACAAGAAGGGAGCUUCAAGGAAAGCCAGGCCGAGGUUCCCCUCAGAACCAUAGACUAGCCUGAAAUUCCACUGGGACUAAUUCUUCUCAUUUCAAGAAUGAAAAUCGAUUGCUGGACAGAGCUCCCGGAGGGCCAAUUUUCAGGCUGUAGUCUACAGCCGUCCACGUAGAGGCAGUGAACGAAAUUUUUCAAAGCCUACUUUAUGAUUACUUUCUUUAGCAGCUCUCAACAGUAAAAUAAAAUUGAUCUAGGACUUUGAACAAAACUUCUCGCCCCUUUCUAGGGAAGAGUUUGUCUCGUCUAUCAGGCCACCAACAAGAGUUGUUGCAAUGCCUGUGGGAGGUGCAGCCCACGCUGGGCCACCUGGCCAGCUCAGGGAUCCUGCUGGAGAUCGAGGAUUGUCUGGUCGGCCUCUUACAACUCUCAGAACAUCAUCCCUGGGAGCAGCCCUGAAGAGACCAAGGGUCAGUGGCGGGGCUGCUGAGUGGCUGCCUCCCUGACCUGGCCAGCAUUUCCUGGGCACACUGCAGUGUGUCCACGUCCCUGGGUGUGUAGGUGGCUGCAGAGCCUUGUCAGAGCAUCUGGGCCUUCAGGGAUCUGCUUCCUGCCCACUACCCUCCUCUUGCCUGCCUGCAAAUCUCAGCUCCAUCCCUCAUGGGCUGUGUGACCUAGAGUGAAUAAUGUGACCUCUCUGUGCCUUGGUUUCUUGAUUUGUACAGCCUGAUUAAUCAUAACCCCUCUCCUGCAGAUUGUUGUGUGGAGUGAGUGGAGAUGAUUGAUGUGAAGCGUUGAGCCAGGUCCCUGGCACACAGUCUAACACUCUGGAAAGCAGGACCCCCACCUACCCCUGCCACCUGUGUGCUCCAGGCUUUCUUGCCUCCAGGCCUUCACCCUUGCUGCUCCCUCCUGCCAAGCACUUUGCCCAUUGCCCUUCUGCAACCUGGGUCUCUGCCAAACUUGGAGCCCCAGAAAGGGAGCACGCAGGAAGCGGGGAUGCCAAGCAGUCCCAGCAUGGGGCCUGGAGCACAGUGGACCCCAGGAAACCCUUGCAGGAUGUGGUCUGUGGGUGGCAAGUGCCUGGGCUCACUUCCUCUUCUCCCUCAGUGGGCACAGCAAAACUGCCCCAGAACUGGACAGACAGGGAAGGUGUCAGUACUGGAGACAGCUCUGCAGGGGACCGGGGACCCACAGUACAUUUAUUCAUUCACUAGCACUGCAGACAGAUGCUCUCCAGCUUCACAGACACCCCAGGCCAGGCCAUGUUCUCUCCCUUCUGGGUGACUGCAGGGGAUGCUUUCCUCCCUGGCUUCCUCUCCUCCCCGACAGCCCAUCUCCACUCCUGGGACUCUCUAUGGCAUAUAGCCAUUGCAGCAAACAAUUUGGUAGUUUCUCUUCUUUUCUUUUCUUUCUUUUUUCUCUUUUUUUUUCUGAGACAAAGUCUCUAAAAAAUGCUGUGUUGCCCAAACUGGCCUUGAACUCCUGGGCUCCAGUGAUCCUCGCACCUCAGCCUCCUAAGUAACCGGGGCUAUAGGCACACCACCACACCCAGCUACUCUGGCAGUUUCUGAUAAGGUUAUAAAUUUAUUGUAAGAUUAAACACAACACUAUGAGCCAGCAAUUGCACGCUCAGGUAAUUGGCCAGAAAGAAAUGAAAAUAUUUGUUCACCCAAAGACUUGUGAAUGGCAGUGGUAUUCAUACAGUCCAAAACGGAAACAGCCCUGGUUGUAUCUAUCAAUAGAAUGGAAAAACAGAUGGAAGGACUGCAACUCACAGGUGAAAAGGAACCGGCUACGAGAGGCUCCAAACCAAGGGAGCAGCGGAGUUUGUCUCCAAAACACCGAGCCCAGUGAGAGAAGCCAGAGCCACAGACCAGAUGCCCUGCAGUGGGUCCCUUUACAUGGCCUUCAAAGUCAGGCAGAGUGAAUUGAGGGCCAUGGGAAUAGGAGCAGUGGUUGCCUCCAGAGGUGAAGUGGGAUGGGGUGAGGUGGUGUGGGGUGGUGUGGGGUGGGUGGGGUAUGAGAGAACCUGCGGGAUGGGAAGGGGCUCCAUCCUUACCUGGGGCAGGUCACUCCAGUGUGUGCUGUCGCGUUUCACUGUAGGAAGUGUAGACCUCAGUAAAAAUCCCAAGGAAAACCCCCAGACCCACUCAGGCUUCCUUCCUGCUUUGAACCACCUCAUGGCCCCCACCACACUGCCACUAAGCCACACUCCUGGCAGCCUCUGAGAUACCCCCUACCUGACCCUCCGCCACUCUCCUCCUCUGCCUCCCUCACUCCCAGCCUCUCUGGCCCCCUGGCUUUCCCUCCAACUCCAGGCUCCCCUCUCUCUGCCUCAGGGCCUUUGCCCCUGUCUUGCUCCCUGCCCCAGGCUCUUCCCCUCAGCCCUUCCCAGGUCUGGCUCCUUCUCCCUAGGCCUCAGCUCCAGUGUCUCAUCCCCAGAGACCUUCCCAGACCACCAUGUCUCAGACAGCCCCGGCUGCCUCCUGCCUGCCCUGCACCAGCCCUGAGCCAUCGCCUCAUUUUAUUCUCAUUCUAACUUGGAUAAUGGGUGAGUGGACCUUGAUCAUUUACAUAUUGACCUGUUUAUGUCUGUUUUCACACUAGACUGCCCACUUCAUGUGUCCCCAGGGCCUACAGCAGUGGCCAGCCCCAUGGCAGAUGUCCAACAAAUUCUGCUGAAUGAACGGAGCUGGAGCUGCCUACAAUUUUCCCCCACGCUCCCACCCCCAUUCCACAAACUGCAAAACUAACCAUUUGUUUAGCUAUGGAGAAAGGGGCCAGUCUUUAAGACUGUGCAUUCGGCUCCACCCACAAGAGCCCCCUCCCCUCCCCAUCUCCCCUGC